GUAUGGGUAAGCUAAAUAUAAAAAGCUUUUAGGUUCAUACCCUAAAUACAGGUAAUCCUCCCAUACA
rnacentral:tRNA from 1 species